AUGGGCCGGCGCAGCCGUUGGUGCGUUCGGACGCUGAGAGCGUCAUAUAGGGCCUCCCCUUGCCACCCUCACAAAAUCUCGCGCUGUCUUCCCGUUCCCCUACCUUCCCGUCCCCUUGCCCUUUCCGUUUCCCGCCUCCCCCAACCGCAUAGAAUGGCCGGCUCCGGCGGCUCUCCCGACGCCGACGAUCCCAAUUGCGGCGGAGCUGGGGCUGAGCCCUCCAGGACUCCUCAAGAAUCCGACGACUGCUACUCCGCGCCCGCCUCCCCUCUCAGCACUCGCCCGUCCGGUCAGCCCCCGGGGACCUCGGUCGUCGCCAACGAGGGCUCCGCCUCGUCCUCCGCCACGGGAUCUGAUGAAGACGACGUGCCCACAGACAGGUACAAGAACCCCGCCGCCGCUUCCUUCCUCUUGGGACCGUCGAGCAGCACCAUGGGAGCGUCCUCCUCCUCCUCCUCGGACAGCUGGAUCGGCAGCGACCGUACGUGCGGCGGCGCCUCGACCUCCAGCUCUCUGGACGCCUCCAACUACAGGGAUCUCUACAGGGAUCCACCCUCUGAGUGGAUGUAUAAUCAGAUUCUGGAAGCUCCUUUUUGGAGUCACGAGGCAUGUGAUGCUGCGAGGGCUUCUUGGAGAAACGAGUACGAGGCUUGUGAUGAUUUUUCUAUGGUUUUGCAGACAUCACAAAAUGGCUGCAAAAAAAUUCUUCAAAAGGAACCUUUAUCAUCUCUACCGCAUGAGUUUGAAAACGAAAUUAUGAAAGAUAAGGCAAAAAAGCUUUCGGCUAAUUACUCUGAAUAUCGGAAAGUACCUGGAGACGGGAGUUGCUUUUACAGAUCGUUCAUAUACUCAUACCUGGAGCAGCUUGUGAAAGUAUCUCACGAGGAGGAGCUACGUUUACUUGGUGCACUUGAAACUAUGUGGGAGAAGUUCCAAAGGCUUCGUUUGCCCGGUUCAUAUUCAGAUCUUCGUGAUGCUUUUGUGGGCUUUAUACUGGAAUGUAUGGAACAAAAACAAAAACUGUCAGUAAGUGCCUAUCAGGAGUGGCUUUUCCAGGAGAGUCAAAAUGAGCAGAAGUUUGCGAACAUGCUUUUGUAUCUUCGACUUGUGACAGCUAUUGAGAUAUGCACUGAGGUUGAACAGUUUAAGGCAUUCAUAGCCGACCUUGAUCAAGGAAAGCCCGAUGCAACAAAGUACUGCCUGGAGGAGGUUCUCCCAGUGGAGGAAGAUGCACAACAAGUGAAUCUCACUGCGCUCACCAAUGUCCUACAGGUGCCACUUCGAGUUGUUAACAUUGACGUUUCACCGAUUGAGGAGCCUAACAUCCACAUCAUCUACGAGUCACCAGAUUCCUCGGUUCCUACUGUGACACUACUUUAUAGACCAGGGCAUUAUGAUAUCAUCUACGAGAAGUCAUAG
rnacentral:rRNA from 1 species